UGAAAUCUGGCUCUCAGGGCCCGAGUUGUAAUUUGUAGAGGAUGCUUUUGGCGAGGUGCCUUCCGAGUUCCCUGGAACGGGACGCCACAGAGGGUGAGAGCCCCGUAUGGUCGGACACCGAGCCUCUGUAAAGCUCCUUCGACGAGUCGAGUAGUUUGGGAAUGCUGCUCAAAAUGGGAGGUAUAUGUCUUCUAAAGCUAAAUAUUGGCCAGAGACCGAUAGCGCACAAGUAGAGUGAUCGAAAGAUGAAAAGCACUUUGAAAAGAGGGUUAAAAAGUACGUGAAAUUGUUGAAAGGGAAGCGCCUAUGACCAGACUUGCGCCCGGUGAAUCACCCAGCGUUCUCGCUGGUGCACUUUGCCGGGCACAGGCCAGCAUCAGUUCAGCGCGGGGGAGAAAGGCUUCGGGAAUGUGGCUCCCUCGGGAGUGUUAUAGCCCGCUGCGUAAUGCCCUGCGCCGGACUGAGGUACGCGCAUUGCAAGGAUGCUGGCGUAAUGGUCAUCAGCGACCCGUCUUGAAACACGGACCAAGGAGUCGUCUUCGUAUGCGAGUGUUCGGGUGUCAAACCCCUACGCGUAAUGAAAGUGAACGCAGGUGAGAGCUUCGGCGCAUCACCGACCGAUCCUGAUGUUCUCGGAUGGAUUUGAGUAAGAGCAUACGGGGCCGGACCCGAAAGAAGGUGAACUAUGCCUGUAUAGGGUGAAGCCAGAGGAAACUCUGGUGGAGGCUCGCAGCGGUUCUGACGUGCGAAUCGAUCGUC
rnacentral:rRNA from 1 species